GUAUAGUUUUGUACCUGGCUCAGGACGAACGCUGGCGGCGUGCUUAACACAUGCAAGUCGAACGCUGAAGCACCAGCUUGCUGGUGUAUGGAUGAGUGGCGAACGGGUGAGUAAUACGUGAGUAACCUGCCCUUGACUCUGGGAUAAGCCCGGGAAACUGGGUCUAAUACUGGAUGCUACAUGUCACCGCAUGGUGGUGUGUGGAAAGGGUUUACUGGUCUUGGAUGGGCUCACGGCCUAUCAGCUUGUUGGUGAGGUAAUGGCUCACCAAGGCGACGACGGGUAGCCGGCCUGAGAGGGUGACCGGCCACACUGGCGGACUGAGACACGGCCCAGACUCCUACGGGAGGCAGCAGUGGGGAAUAUUGCACAAUGGGCGAAAGCCUGAUGCAGCGACGCCGCGUGAGGGAUGACGGCCUUCGGGUUGUAAACCUCUUUCAGCAGGGAAGAAGCCACAAGUGACGGUACCUGCAGAAGAAGCGCCGGCUAACUACGUGCCAGCAGCCGCGGUAAUACGUAGGGCGCAAGCGUUGUCCGGAAUUAUUGGGCGUAAAGAGCUCGUAGGCGGUUUGUCGCGUCUGCUGUGAAAGCCCGGGGCUUAACCCCGGGUGUGCAGUGGGUACGGGCAGACUAGAGUGCAGUAGGGGAGACUGGAAUUCCUGGUGUAGCGGUGGAAUGCGCAGAUAUCAGGAGGAACACCGAUGGCGAAGGCAGGUCUCUGGGCUGUUACUGACGCUGAGGAGCGAAAGCAUGGGGAGCGAACAGGAUUAGAUACCCUGGUAGUCCAUGCCGUAAACG
rnacentral:rRNA from 1 species